UACAGAGGGGGCAAGCGUUGCUCGGAAUUACUGGGCGUAAAGGGCGCGUAGGCGGGAUGGCAAGUCGGUCGUGAAAUCCUUCGGCUCAACCGAAGAACGUCGAUCGAUACUGCUGUUCUUGAGGAUUGCAGAGGAGACUGGAAUUCCCGGUGUAGCGGUGAAAUGUGUAGAGAUCGGGAGGAACACCGGUGGCGAAGGCGGGUCUCUGGACCGGCAUUGACGCUGAGGUGCGAAAGCGUGGGGAGCGAACAGG
rnacentral:rRNA from 1 species